UCUCCUCUUCUCCACUCCUCCUCUCACCUGUCUCUCCUCUUCUCCCUUUCCGCUUCCCUUUUCCUUCCCCCUCCAGGUGCUCCGUUCCGUGAGCUGCCCCAGCCCUCCUCUCUGACAGGUUCCAUGUCAGCGGCCCACCAGCUCCAGGCCAUGCAGCAGGCCCAGAGCGCAGAGCUGCAGAUCCAGAGACUGGCCCUGGAACAGCAGUGGAUCCACCACCACCACCACCACUCCCUCACCCAGGACGAGUACUACAGCCACUUAAAGAAGGAAAGCGACAAGACCCUGUGAGGGAGGAAAAAGAGAGGGGGAACAAGCCCACGGAUGACAAACCCAAAGGAGGAAGAAAGGAGAGAAAUAUGUGCAAACAAAGAUAAAAAUAAAUAAAAAUGGAAGCACUAAAAACAAUGAAGGAAGAGUCAAAUGAAACCAUAGACUGGACACACAUAUCAUACCAUAGGAACCUGAUGAGAAAUGAACUGAUUGAGAAAACAGAUGAAAAAAGGGAGAGAGGGAUGAGUAAAACCGUUACUUACAGUCUGUGUUAUCUGAACUAUAUCAUAGCCCCAGACUCUGGGCAAGUCCCAGCGUAUGUUGUACAACUCCAGUCAGUUUUGUAUUGUGCCCUGUACAGUAUACUAGAUGGGAGCAGCAAUAUAGUGCAGUACAGUCCGUUGUAAAUGACCUUAUGCCAGGAAGAAUGUGUACAUCAGGCUCUCCUUUAUGUCAUUGCAUGUAGCUAGUCGCUUAUUCUGAACUGGUUGAACUCCUGGUUCUAUUUUUAGUAAUCGCCCUCUUUCCUAACGGACGGGCGGUGUAUGAGUAUGCAUGAGACCAAUGAUUAAGAAGUGUCAUAUUAUGUUAACGAUUAAUAGUAUUGUUAUUAUUAUUAAUGUUGUCUGUUUGUUGAUAAUUAUAUAAUUAUAUAUACAUAUUAUUUGUAUUAUUAUUUUUGUACAUUUUCAUGGUAUGGCGGUUUGUUUAGUUUUUUAUUGUGAAACGAGAUGCAAAUGAAGGAAAAAGACGGAAGAUAAACAACAUCAUUUU